rnacentral:rRNA from 1 species
CAGUAACGGCGAGUGAAGCGGCAACAGCUCAAAUUUGAAAUCUGGCUCCUUCGGGGUCCGAAUUGUAAUUUGUAGAGAGUGCUUCGGGCGAGACCUCGGUCUAAGUCCAUUGGAACAUGGUGUCAUAGAGGGUGAGAAUCCCGUAUGCGACCGUGGCUCGAGCCCAUGUGAAGCCUCUUCGACGAGUCGAGUUGUUUGGGAAUGCAGCUCAAAACGGGUGGUAAAUUUCAUCUAAAGCUAAAUACUGGCUGGAGACCGAUAGCGCACAAGUAGAGUGAUCGAAAGAUGAAAAGCACUUUGGAAAGAGAGUCAAACAGUACGUGAAAUUGUUGAAAGGGAAGCGCUUGCAACCAGACCUGCCCGUAGGCGAUCAGCCGCUGUUCUCAGCGGUGCACUCGCUCUGCGAUCAGGCCAGCAUCGGUUUCGGCGGUCGGAUAAAGGCCUUGGGAAUGUAGCUCCCCUUCGGGGGAGUCUUAUAGCCCUCGGUGCAAUGCGGCCAGUCGGGACCGAGGACCGCGCUUCGGCUAGGAUGCUGGCGUAAUGGUUGUAAGCGACCCGUCUUGAAACACGGACCAAGGAGUCUAACAUCUAUGCGAGUGUUUGGGUGUCAAACCCAUACGCGGAAUGAAAGUGAACGGAGGUGAGAACCCUUAAGGGCGCAUCAUCGACCGAUCCAGAUGUCUUCGGAUGGAUUUGAGUAUGAGCAUAGCUGUUGGGACCCGAAAGAUGGUGAACUAUGCCUGAAUAGGGUGAAGCCAGAGGAAACUCUGGUGGAGGCUCGCAGCGGUUCUGACGUGCAAAUCGAUCGUCAAAUUUGGGUAUAGGGGCGAAAGACUAAUC